CGGACAUCAUCCAAAUAGGGGUUAACACGUGCAAAGAGAACCAUCACUCUUGACAUCAUCCUUAAGAACGUGCCAAAGCACAUCGAUCGUCGGAUCGAAUUGAUCAUCGUACAACUGCGAUCAACGGAACCAUCUAUCACAGCCCGAAUCCAGCAGUAACAGCACCUCGUUCGCUCACGGCUUCACCAAACUACCUUUCCCGUACUAUAGAUAAAAAUUAUUUGUGGGGAGGAAGAAGCUUCUGCUUCAGCAACUGAACCGCCAUGUCCUCCUCCAAUCCCGAUAAGUUGAUCGUCAAGGCCGAUAAGCUAACAAAACUGAGUCUCACAAGGUGGAGUGCUGAUUGGAAAAGUGCCACUCUUUUGUACGAGCAAGCUGCUAAUGGUUUUAGGGUUGCCAAGAAAUAUGAGAAAGCAAAAGCAGCAUUUGAAAUGGCUUCCAAAGGACAAGAGAUACUCUCUUCCCCCUGGGAUGCUGCUAAGCAUAUGGAGUCAGCUGCUGCGCUAGCAAAGGAACUAGGCAAGUGGAAUGAAGUUGCUGAUCUUUAUAGAAGGGCAUCUGAGCUGUAUAUUGAGUGUGGGAGAUCACAACCUGCAUCGGAUGCUCUAGCGAAGGGUGCUCGUGCCUUGGAAGAUGCUGUUCCUGAUGUUGCUGUUCAACUUUAUAUUGAUGCUUCUGAUAUUCUUGAAGAGGAUGGCAAGGAGCAAAUGACCUUUGAUCUAUAUCGUGCUGCUGCUGGUGUUUAUAUAAAGCUUGAGAAGUAUACAG
rnacentral:misc_RNA from 1 species